GCUCAAAUGCAGGCAGCCAUCUGGAGUGGAGGCCAGGGGACCUCACUGAAGCCUCAAGAGAUACCUCAAUGUAUACUGCCCACAGAGAAGCAAUCCGGCUCGGAGACAUUUUUAAAGGGGCUGAGAUGCCUUUGCUGAAGUGCUCCAGGAAGAGGAGCGCACAAAGCCAUCUUCUGCGAUAUUUGAAGACUCAACGGGAACAAGCUGUUGGGGCAUUUCAAGUGACCCAUGCGGCCCCCACUCGUGGCUUGCAUCAUCUCCGACGUUCCCCGCGCCUUCAGGAAAAGGAAGAGGAAAAACAAACAUGGAGGGAAACGCUGAGCACAUGGUUGGCGGGAGGCAAAGCAGAACCUGCCAUGUUGCAGUUGAUUUUGUCAGCGUUUGGGUACUUUUCUGCUGUCCCUCUUCCCUUGCGAGGUGUUACCGCCAAGGUCCGCCACGCCACUGCGGCCUGAACGAAAAAACAAACAGGAGACUUGAGCAAGAAUUCACAGCCCCUGAAAAUGCUUUCUACUAAGCAAGAAUGCAAUUCCUUCCAGAUUCAUUUAUUCCUGUGAUUGACUCACAGCUUUGAAAAUCUGUGGAGUCAUACCUGGGUCAAAAAGAUUACAAUAAAACAUAUUUGCAAAGAUGUUUUAUUUUAAAUAAAAUAUUUUUAAAUGGUCUACAUUAACAUUUUAGAGACAAGAUUUUUAGAAGUAAAGUUACAAAACUUGGAAAUGAUAUUUCAUCCUUUGAUGAUAGCAAGAAAGAAGACAUUGUGCCGAGAACGUUGUUUAUAGUAAAUUCAGUAUAACCAUAACACGAAAAUUCUACAUGCAUACACACUUGAUACGCACAUAUUGUAUUUUUACUUAUUUACUUUUGGAGUAUUAUAUACUUAAUGAAGAAUCAAUUCAGCACAAAUGUGAGGUGAGUCUACUUUGCCAAUAAAUUGGAAGUAGCUCAUAAACAAUUUUGGGUAAAAUUUAAAGAUUAGUUUUAUCAUAAAAGGAACUCUCCUGUGGCUCAUUGUUAGUAUGUCCAUUAAUGUUCUAUUUUUUGGCUAAAUUAAAUUUAACUAAGGGAAAAAGAAAAUGUAGAGUACCGAGAACAAUCAAGAUUUUAUGGGUAAGCUAAUUGAAAUGGUUUAUUCUUUGGAAAAUGAUGAUAUUUAUUCCUUGGAAAAUACCACUCUUGUUAUUUGAGGCUUGUGUUCAAUUAAUAAGAAACUAACAGAAAUAAUUA